rnacentral:rRNA from 1 species
UACGUAGGGGGCAAGCGUUAUCCGGAUUUACUGGGUGUAAAGGGAGCGUAGACGGCCUGGCAAGUCUGAUGUGAAAACCCGGGGCUCAACCGCGGGAUUGCAUUGGAAACUGUUAGGCUCGAGUACUGGAGGGGCAGGCGGAAUUCCUAGUGUAGCGGUGAAAUGCGUAGAUAUUAGGAAGAACACCGGUGGCGAAGGCGGCCUGCUGGACAGUAACUGACGUUGAGGCUCGAAAGCGUGGGGAG